AAAAAAUAAACCCAAAGGGAAGUGGGAAAGCGCUUCUGUCAACUGUGUACUUUUGUAUGAGUAGCAAUACUUUGAGAGAAUGACAGACAAAUGAAGAGUCCAGGGUUGCCUCCUACCGUUUGACAGGGGUGGUGGGAGGUGAUUGUAGGAUCUAAACAAGACCCCACAAUUUCCUCUUGCCAUCUGGAAGCCCCCUUAAUACACUCUACUUUGCAACACUGAGCACUUUCUCUUUAACACUCUUCUCCAGAAUCAGUUGGUGACGCACAGAUGCUGUGUCCUCGGGAAAGAAUACAAAGGCAACUGGAACACUAUGUCUAACAGGCUCUUUUCACAUUUCCCACCUCGGAACGGUCGAAUCUGAAACAGCGUCUGGGUGCAAAUGGAAUGUUCCAGCAGUCAGUGUGGAACAUUUCCUAAGGCUGUUUGGGAGACCAGGAUUGCAUCCCAGACCUUUUGGCUGCCAUACCAGACUCAGCAAAUUAGCUUCACAGCCUCAUCCCUUCCUACAGGCAAGACUGUGAUGAUCUAUUUUCCUGACUGUUCAUGAUUA
rnacentral:lncRNA from 1 species